CAGUAGCCGCGGGAAUACGUAGGGUGCGAGCGUUAAUCGGAAUUACUGGGCGUAAAGCGUGCGCAGGCGGUUGUGUAAGACAGGUGUGAAAUCCCCGGGCUUAACCUGGGAACUGCGCUUGUGACUGCACAGCUAGAGUACGGCAGAGGGGGGUGGAAUCCCACGUGUAGCAGUGAAAUGCGUAGAGAUGUGGAGGAACACCGAUGGCGAAGGCAGCCCCCUGGGCCAAUACUGACGCUCAUGCACGAAAGCGUGGGGAGCAAACAGGAUUAGAUACCCCUGUAGUCCCUGUCUCUUAUAC
rnacentral:rRNA from 1 species